AGACAAUCAUAUAAAUGUAGCAAAGGUACUCACCAUCCCAGCAAACAUGCAACCAAGGCUCCACAUGUCCAAGGAAUAGUCAUAGUCCAGUAAAUCCACUAAAAGUUCGUGUUCCUUGAAGUACCUGAUUGAAGAGAUAACAUUUCAUCGAGAACUUGGAGACCACACGGACGUUAUACUCUUUUCCAGGAUGAUAAAACUCAGCGAGACCCCAAUCUAUCAGGCAAAGUUUGCGCAGCUCAUGGUCGAUCGUGAUAUUGUGUGGCUUCACAUCUCUGUGCAUUAUACCUUGCGAGUGGCAGUAGUCCAAUGCCUGUAUCAUAUCACAAGAAAGUUUCAAGGUUACUACUAACCUUUAUAUGUUGUAAGUCACUGAAUGGUAAAGGGAUUACACAAAAACUACCUUCAACAGCU